UAACAUGUUAUGUGUGUGUGUCUCGAAUUGAUCGUAACUAGAAAUAUACAGUUGAGUUUUGGUGUAUGGUGAUGGGAUAUGAAAGUGAAAGUGAGACCUUUCUUGUGAAUAGGUUUCCCACCAACCAAGAAUUUGAGGGAAUUAUCAAAUUCAAAUGUUUUUUUUAAUGGUGUUUGGAGAAGUAGUUAGACUUUUGUGUCACCAAGGACAUAACGUACUUGUAAAUAUGAAGCCUUUUAUAUGAAUUAUAUAUGUACGGAUCGACCGUUUUAAUAAUAAGAAAAGGCCC
rnacentral:lncRNA from 1 species